rnacentral:rRNA from 1 species
CCCUUAGAUGUCCUGGGCCGCACGCGCGCUACAAUGAUAAAUUCAGAAUGUUUUUCCUGCCCUGGAAAGGUGUGGGUAAUCAUUAUAGUAUUUAUCGUGUUAGGGAUCGAUCUUUGCAAUUAUAGAUCUUGAACGAGGAAUGCCUAGUAAGUGCAGCUCAUCAGGCUGUACUGAUUACGUCCCUGCCCUUUGUACACACCGCCCGUCGCUCCUACCGAUUUCGAGUGUUCAGGUGAAUCUUCUGGACUGAGUCGCAAGACCCGGGAAGUUAGAUAAAUCUUAACACUUAGAGGAAGGAGAANUCGUANCA